GAUGAACGCUGGCGGCGUGCCUAUUACAUGCAAGUCGAGCGAACAGACGAGGAGCUUGCUCCUCUGACGUUAGCGGCGGACGGGUGAGUAACACGUGGAUAACCUACCUAUAAGACUGGGAUAACUUCGGGAAACCGGAGCUAAUACCGGAUAAUAUAUUGAACCGCAUGGUUCAAUAGUGAAAGACGGUUUUGCUAUCACUUAUAGAUGGAUCCGCGCCGCAUUAGCUAGUUGGUAAGGUAACGGCUUACCAAGGCAACGAUGCGUAGCCGACCUGAGAGGGUGAUCGGCCACACUGGAACUGAGACACGGUCCAGACUCCUACGGGAGGCAGCAGUAGGGAAUCUUCCGCAAUGGGCGAAAGCCUGACGGAGCAACGCCGCGUGAGUGAUGAAGGUCUUCGGAUCGUAAAACUCUGUUAUUAGGGAAGAACAAAUGUGUAAGUAACUAUGCACGUCUUGACGGUACCUAAUCAGAAAGCCACGGCCAACUACGUG
rnacentral:rRNA from 1 species